CCUACGGGCGGCUGCAGUGAGGAAUAUUGGUCAAUGGCCGGAAGUCUGACCCAGCCAUGCCGCGUGAAGGUCAGUGCCCUAUGGGCGUUAAACUUCUUUUGUGCGGGAGCAAUAAUUGUCACGUUUGGCCAUUCGAGAGUACCGUACGUAUAAGCAUCGGCUAACUGCGUGCCAGCAGCCGCGGGCAUACGGGGGAUGCAAGUGUUUUCCGGUUUUAUUGGGUUUUAAGGGUGCGUAGGCUGGGUGGUAAGUGAGCGGUGUAAUGCUCCCGGUCAACGGGGUGAAGUGCCAUUGAUACUGCCUGGCUGGAAUGCAGAUGCGGUGGGAGGAAUUGGUGGUGUAGCGGUGAAAUGCAUAGAUAUCACACAGAACACCGAUUGCGAAGGCAGCUCACGAAUCCGCGAUUGACGCUGAGGCACGAAAGCGUGGGUAUCAAACAGGAUUAGAUACCCGAGUAGUC
rnacentral:rRNA from 1 species